UUCUAAUAGAAAUUAUUGUUAGUAAAAUCUGCUCAAUGAUAAUUAAAUAGCCGCAGUUUCUGUGCUAAGGUAGCAUAAUCAUUUGUCUUUUAAUUAAAGACUAGAACGAAAGAUUACCCAUUUAAAUUUCUUUUUCAGAUAUUAGUUUUUAAACUAUUUUAAAUAUUAUAAAAUAUUUAUAUAAAAAAUAGACGACAAGACCCUAUUGAACUUAACUUAAGUUGAACUGGGGCAGUUAAUCAAAUAAAAUUUUAAUUUUAAAAAAAUUCAAAAAUAUCUUAUAUAAUAAAUACAUGAACAAGUUACCAUAGGGAUAACAGCGUAAUAAUUUUUAAAAGUUCUUAUUCAAAAAAUUGUUUACGACCUCGAUGUUGAAUAAUUACCUAAUACAAUGCAAUAAUUUAUUUAAGGAAGUCUGUUCGACUUUUAAAUAAUUACA
rnacentral:rRNA from 1 species